rnacentral:tRNA from 1 species
GAGCAACCGCCGGAUGAACGGGGGUCAUUGAUGUUGACCAUCAUGAGAACCACACUCGUUGCUCU